GAUGAACGCUGGCGGCGUGCCUAAUACAUGCAAGUCGAGCGAACAGAUAAGGAGCUUGCUCCUUUGACGUUAGCGGCGGACGGGUGAGUAACACGUGGGUAACCUACCUAUAAGACUGGGAUAACUUCGGGAAACCGGCGCUAAUACCGGAUAAUAUUUCGAACCGCAUGGUUCGAUAGUGAAAGAUGGUUUUGCUAUCACUUAUAGAUGGACCCGCGCCGUAUUAGCUAGUUGGUAAGGUAACGGCUUACCAAGGCGACGAUACGUAGCCGACCUGAGAGGGUGAUCGGCCACACUGGAACUGAGACACGGUCCAGACUCCUACGGGAGGCAGCAGUAGGGAAUCUUCCGCAAUGGGCGAAAGCCUGACGGAGCAACGCCGCGUGAGUGAUGAAGGUCUUCGGAUCGUAAAACUCUGUUAUUAGGGAAGAACAUACGUGUAAGUAACUGUGCACGUCUUGACGGUACCUAAUCAGAAAGCCACGGCUAACUACGUG
rnacentral:rRNA from 1 species